rnacentral:rRNA from 1 species
AUGGAUCAAGUAAGGCGAGAGAUAUCUGUAAUGAAGUUGGUAAAACAUCCAAACAUUGUCCAACUGUAUGAGGUGAUGGCCACCAAAACCAAGAUAUUUUUUGUGCUAGAGUAUGUGAAGGGGGGCGAGCUGUUCAACAAGGUUCAACGAGGAAGGCUGAAAGAAGAUGUUGCUCGCAAGUACUUCCAACAGCUCAAUAGUGCGGUUGACUUCUGCCACAGCCGAGGCGUCUAUCACCGCGAUUUGAAGCCUGAAAAUCUUCUUCUUGAUGAGAACCGAAAUUUAAAGAUCUCUGACUUUGGUUUGAGUGCACUUGCAGAAUGCAAGAGGCAAGAUGUGCUGCUUCACACAACUUGUGGUACCCCUGCAUAUGUUGCUCCGGAACUGAUUAGUAAAAAAGGAUAUGAUGGUGCAAAAGCUGACAUCUGGGCUUGUGGAGUCAUCUUGUAUGUACUGUUGGCUGGUUAUCUCCCUUUUCAGGACAAAUUUGAUGGACAUGUAUUAGAAGAUUUACAAAGCAGAACUCAAAUGGCCAAGCUGGUUUUCUUCAGAUGCCCGGAGGCUUCUGAGACGUAUUCUUGA